AGUCGAGCGGAAGGCCCUUCGGGGUACUCGAGCGGCGAACGGGUGAGUAACACGUGAGCAACCUGCCCUAGGCUUUGGGAUAACCCCGGGAAACCGGGGCUAAUACCGAAUAUGACCUCCGAUCGCAUGGUUGGUGGUGGAAAGUUUUUCGGCCUGGGAUGGGCUCGCGGCCUAUCAGCUUGUUGGUGGGGUGAUGGCCUACCAAGGCGACGACGGGUAGCCGGCCUGAGAGGGCGACCGGCCACACUGGGACUGAGACACGGCCCAGACUCCUACGGGAGGCAGCAGUGGGGAAUAUUGCACAAUGGGCGGAAGCCUGAUGCAGCGACGCCGCGUGAGGGAUGACGGCCUUCGGGUUGUAAACCUCUUUCAGCAGGGACGAAGCGAAAGUGACGGUACCUGCAGAAGAAGCGCCGGCCAACUACGUGCCAGCAGCCGCGGUAAGACGUAGGGCGCGAGCGUUGUCCGGAUUUAUUGGGCGUAAAGAGCUCGUAGGCGGCUUGUCGCGUCGACUGUGAAAACCCGCAGCUCAACUGCGGGCCUGCAGUCGAUACGGGCAGGCUAGAGUUCGGUAGGGGAGACUGGAAUUCCUGGUGUAGCGGUGAAAUGCGCAGAUAUCAGGAGGAACACCGGUGGCGAAGGCGGGUCUCUGGGCCGAUACUGACGCUGAGGAGCGAAAGCGUGGGGAGCGAACAGGAUUAGAUACCCUGG
rnacentral:rRNA from 1 species